GACGAACGCUGGCGGCGUGCCUAAUACAUGCAAGUAGAACGCACAGUUUAUACCGUAGCUUGCUACACCAUAGACUGUGAGUUGCGAACGGGUGAGUAACGCGUAGGUAACCUGCCUGGUAGCGGGUGAUAACUAUUGGAAACGAUAGCUAAUACCGCAUAAUAUUAAUUAUUGCAUGAUAAUUAAUUGAAAGGUGCAAUUGCACCACUACCAGAUGGACCUGCGUUGUAUUAGCUAGUAGGUGAGGUAACGGCUCACCUAGGCGACGAUACAUAGCCGACCUGAGAGGGUGAUCGGCCACAAUGGGACUGAGACACGGCCCAGACUCCUACGGGAGGCAGCAGGAGGGAAUCUUCGGCAAUGGACGAAAGUCUGAACGAGCAACGCCGCGUGAGUGAAGAAGGUUUUCGGAUCGUAAAGCUCUGUUGUAAGAGAAGAACGGGUGUGAGAGUGGAAAGUUCACACUGUGACGGUAUCUUACCAGAAAGGGACGGCUAACUACGUG
rnacentral:rRNA from 1 species